CUCUGAGUCUGGUCUGUACCUUUGUCACGCCCCAUAUUUUACAUACACACCAGCCCACUGGUGUUCUGGACCCGGAACAGAAAUGGAGGUCGCUUAGAUAUCCGACACUAGUUGUUUAGCUGCGCCCUGCUUUGUGUACUUCCACGGGAAUUACGGAAGUUUUGGAAGAUAUUGAACAUGAACCACGGUCGAAGAUGCAGUGUUCCAGGCUGUAGGCCUACGGGGAAUGCUUAUACUUUUCAUAGUCUUCCCAAAGAACCAAUUACUCGACGUGCAUGGCUGAUGUUUGUGUUUAAGAUCCCUGUUGAGAUCGACAGUCAGUUAGAGCUAUACAUUUGCUCAAACCAUUUCACAAAGGACAGUUUUAAAAACCAUGGACAAUUUAAAGCAGGAUUUGCUAGCAUGCUGUUGCUGAAAAAAGGUGUUGUUCCGACCAUAUGGUCAUCGCAAGAUAUUACAUCACAUGAAGGACACACGAAAGACGCAUCAUGCCAAACAGAUACUGGAAGUGUGGCAUCUCGCGCGACACAACUGUCUCUUAAGACAUUGGGACCUCGCCUACGCAGUAAAGCCAUACAGACUACAUUGCCAUGCCAAAGUGUGGCAGUAGGCACAACGGCUCCUUCAGUUUCUGGGCCAUCAUUGUCAAGGCCAGCAAAGAGACCUUGCCUUGAAUUGGAGGAGGAAGAGGAAGAAGAAGAAGAAGAGGAGGAGGAGGAGGAAGAGGAAGAAGAGGAGGAUGUUUCCCAUGCACCCACCGAUCCUCAAGAUUCCACAUCCGAUCCAGCACAGUCCGUUACCACAGAGACAGACUCAUCUCUUUCGUAAACAAAGUUCAUCGUAUGGGACAUGUCUUCCAUGGAAACCCCAGCACCAGCUCACAAAAGUCCUGUUGGCCAAGUGUCUGCAUUGCCUGCAAAGACGACAGGGUGGAAAGGCACACUUUAUUUUAUUUUUUUACAAUUAAAAAAAUAUAUAUUUUAGAUUUCACUUUUACACAAUACUGGAUGAAUGUGUUGAAACAAAAUAAAUUUGUCAUUUUGUUGUCUUGAUCAAA